rnacentral:rRNA from 1 species
AAAUUGAAGAGUUUGAUCAUGGCUCAGAUUGAACGCUGGCGGCAGGCCUAACACAUGCAAGUCGAACGGUAACAGGAAGAAGCUUGCUUCUUUGCUGACGAGUGGCGGACGGGUGAGUAAUGUCUGGGAAACUGCCUGAUGGAGGGGGAUAACUACUGGAAACGGUAGCUAAUACCGCAUAACGUCGCAAGACCAAAGAGGGGGACCUUCGGGCCUCUUGCCAUCGGAUGUGCCCAGAUGGGAUUAGCUAGUAGGUGGGGUAACGGCUCACCUAGGCGACGAUCCCUAGCUGGUCUGAGAGGAUGACCAGCCACACUGGAACUGAGACACGGUCCAGACUCCUACGGGAGGCAGCAGUGGGGAAUAUUGCACAAUGGGCGCAAGCCUGAUGCAGCCAUGCCGCGUGUAUGAAGAAGGCCUUCGGGUUGUAAAGUACUUUCAGCGGGGAGGAAGGGAGUAAAGUUAAUACCUUUGCUCAUUGACGUUACCCGCAGAAGAAGCACCGGCUAACUCCGUGCCAGCAGCCGCGGUAAUACGGAGGGUGCAAGCGUUAAUCGGAAUUACUGGGCGUAAAGCGCACGCAGGCGGUUUGUUAAGUCAGAUGUGAAAUCCCCGGGCUCAACCUGGGAACUGCAUCUGAUACUGGCAAGCUUGAGUCUCGUAGAGGGGGGUAGAAUUCCAGGUGUAGCGGUGAAAUGCGUAGAGAUCUGGAGGAAUACCGGUGGCGAAGGCGGCCCCCUGGACGAAGACUGACGCUCAGGUGCGAAAGCGUGGGGAGCAAACAGGAUUAGAUACCCUGGUAGUCCACGCCGUAAACGAUGUCGACUUGGAGGUUGUGCCCUUGAGGCGUGGCUUCCGGAGCUAACGCGUUAAGUCGACCGCCUGGGGAGUACGGCCGCAAGGUUAAAACUCAAAUGAAUUGACGGGGGCCCGCACAAGCGGUGGAGCAUGUGGUUUAAUUCGAUGCAACGCGAAGAACCUUACCUGGUCUUGACAUCCACGGAAGUUUUCAGAGAUGGAAUGGUGCCUUCGGGAACCGUGAGACAGGUGCUGCAUGGCUGUCGUCAGCUCGUGUUGUGAAAUGUUGGGUUAAGUCCCGCAACGAGCGCAACCCUUAUCCUUUGUUGCCAGCGGUCCGGCCGGGAACUCAAAGGAGACUGCCAGUGAUAAACUGGAGGAAGGUGGGGAUGACGUCAAGUCAUCAUGGCCCUUACGACCAGGGCUACACACGUGCUACAAUGGCGCAUACAAAGAGAAGCGACCUCGCGAGAGCAAGCGGACCUCAUAAAGUGCGUCGUAGUCCGGAUUGGAGUCUGCAACUCGACUCCAUGAAGUCGGAAUCGCUAGUAAUCGUGGAUCAGAAUGCCACGGUGAAUACGUUCCCGGGCCUUGUACACACCGCCCGUCACACCAUGGGAGUGGGUUGCAAAAGAAGUAGGUAGCUUAACCUUCGGGAGGGCGCUUACCACUUUGUGAUUCAUGACUGGGGUGAAGUCGUAACAAGGUAACCGUAGGGGAACCUGCGGUUGGAUCACCUCCUUACCUUAAAGAA